rnacentral:rRNA from 1 species
UACAGAGGGUGCGAGCGUUGUCCGGAAUCACUGGGCGUAAAGGGCGCGUAGGCGGCUUGAUAAGCGUGCGGUGAAAGCCCGGGGCUCAACCCCCGGGUCGGCCGUGCGAACUGUCGAGCUGGAGCACUGUAGAGGCAGGUGGAAUUCCACGUGUAGCGGUGAAAUGCGUAGAGAUGUGGAGGAACACCAGUGGCGAAGGCGACUCUUUGGCCUAUAACUGACGCUGAGGCGCGAAAGCGUGGGGAGCAAACAGG